GCCGGGCAUGGUGGCGCUUACCUGUAAUCCCAGCUACUCGGAAGGCUGAGGCAGGAGAAUUGCUUGAACCCAGGAGGCGGAGGUUGCAGUGAGCCAAGAUGGUGCCACUGCACUGCAGCCUGCUGACAGAGCAAGACUCCGUCUCAAAAAAAAAAAGUGGGAGUGAGAUUCUGCGUUUCUUUUGUGUGUGUGUGUGUGUGUGUUUUCAAGACAGAGUUUCACUCUUGUUGCCCAGGCUGGAGUGCAAUGGCACGAUCUUGGCUCACUGCAACCUCCAUCUCCUGGGUUCAAGUGAUUCUCCUGCCUCA
rnacentral:SRP_RNA from 10 species